rnacentral:rRNA from 1 species
CGCUAGCUACAGGCUUAACACAUGCAAGUCGAGGGGCAGCAUCAUCAAAGCUUGCUUUGAUGGAUGGCGACCGGCGCACGGGUGAGUAACACGUAUCCAACCUGCCGACAACACUGGGAUAGCCUUUCGAAAGAAAGAUUAAUACCGGAUGGCAUAAUUUUCCCGCAUGGGAUAAUUAUUAAAGAAUUUCGGUUGUCGAUGGGGAUGCGUUCCAUUAGGCAGUUGGCGGGGUAACGGCCCACCAAACCAACGAUGGAUAGGGGUUCUGAGAGGAAGGUCCCCCACAUUGGAACUGAGACACGGUCCAAACUCCUACGGGAGGCAGCAGUGAGGAAUAUUGGUCAAUGGACGAGAGUCUGAACCAGCCAAGUAGCGUGAAGGAUGACUGCCCUAUGGGUUGUAAACUUCUUUUAUACGGGAAUAAAGUUAGCCACGUGUGGCUUUUUGUAUGUACCGUAUGAAUAAGGAUCGGCUAACUCCGUGCCAGCAGCCGCGGUAAUACGGAGGAUCCGAGCGUUAUCCGGAUUUAUUGGGUUUAAAGGGAGCGUAGGCGGGUUGUUAAGUCAGUUGUGAAAGUUUGCGGCUCAACCGUAAAAUUGCAGUUGAUACUGGCGACCUUGAGUGCAACAGAGGUAGGCGGAAUUCGUGGUGUAGCGGUGAAAUGCUUAGAUAUCACGAAGAACUCCGAUUGCGAAGGCAGCUUACUGGAUUGUAACUGACGCUGAUGCUCGAAAGUGUGGGUAUCAAACAGGAUUAGAUACCCUGGUAGUUCACACAGUAAACGAUGAAUACUCGCUGUUGGCGAUAUACGGUCAGCGGCCAAGCGAAAGCAUUAAGUAUUCCACCUGGGGAGUACGCCGGCAACGGUGAAACUCAAAGGAAUUGACGGGGGCCCGCACAAGCGGAGGAACAUGUGGUUUAAUUCGAUGAUACGCGAGGAACCUUACCCGGGCUUAAAUUGCAACUGACGGAACCGGAAACGGUUCUUUCUUCGGACAGUUGUGAAGGUGCUGCAUGGUUGUCGUCAGCUCGUGCCGUGAGGUGUCGGCUUAAGUGCCAUAACGAGCGCAACCCUUACGGGUAGUUACCAUCAGGUUAUGCUGGGGACUCUACCCGGACUGCCGUCGUAAGAUGUGAGGAAGGUGGGGAUGACGUCAAAUCAGCACGGCCCUUACGUCCGGGGCUACACACGUGUUACAAUGGGGGGUACAGAAGGUAGCUACACGGCGACGUGGUGCUAAUCCCAAAAGCCUCUCUCAGUUCGGAUUGGAGUCUGCAACCCGACUCCAUGAAGCUGGAUUCGCUAGUAAUCGCGCAUCAGCCACGGCGCGGUGAAUACGUUCCCGGGCCUUGUACACACCGCCCGUCAAGCCAUGAAAGCCGGGGGUACCUGAAGUACGUAACCGCGAGGAGCGUCCUAGGGUAAAACUGGUGA